rnacentral:rRNA from 1 species
AUUGAACGCUGGCGGCAGGCCUAACACAUGCAAGUCGAACGAGUGGCGGACGGGUGAGUAAUGUCUGGGAAACUGCCUGAUGGAGGGGGCUAACUACUGGAAACGGUAGCUAAUACCGCAUACCUUCGUAUUGGCCCCGAUGGGUUUAGCUUGUUGGUGGGGUAACGGUUCACCAGGGCGACGAUCCCUAGCUGGUCGGAGAGGUUGACCAGCCACACUGGAACUGAGACACGGUCCAGACUCCUACGGGAGGCAGCAGUGGGGAAUAUUGCACAAGGGGCGCAAGCCUGAUGCAGCCAUGCCGCGUGUAUGAAGAAGGCCUUCGGGUUGUAAAGUACUUUCAGCGGGGAGGCGUUACCCGCAGAAGAAGCACCGGCUAACUCCGUGCCAGCAGCCGCGGUAAUAC